AUCCAGCUGACAAGUCCCAAACAGGACAGAAUGCGUGUCCUGGAU
rfam:Schistosoma curassoni strain Dakar, Senegal genome assembly, scaffold: SCTD_scaffold0001351